UUCAUGUAAGGACUGCAGUUCCAGGAGAUGCACAAUCUCAGUCUUCUCCAAAUCAGGCGGUUUAAUUUCUAAAUACAAGAAUUUCAAAUGGGGAGGCCUGAGUAAUCGGUCAAGUUUAUGAAAUCCUGCACUAUACUGUUCAAGUGGAAGUGAAAUGCUUCUCUAUGAGAAGCAUUUUAUUGGGUUGAGCAAAGCAUUGAUAAGAGAAGGGUUGCCACUGGGUAAAAAGGCAACAUGGCGGCGUCAUUGUGGUGAAACUAAACACUUAUGAUCUCUCAAAAUAAAUUGCC